rnacentral:rRNA from 1 species
AUGAUAUGGAAGGCUUGGGCUCCCCCAAAGGUCAAGUUCUUUGCUUGGUUGGCUCUACAAGAUAGAGUUUGGACCGCCGAUAGAUUGGCGAAGCGUGGGUGGCCCAACUGUGGCCAAUGCCCUCUCUGUAAGAGAGUACAAGAAUGGGUCUCAUCUCUUCUUCAAAUGCCGCUACACUCGAAGGCUUUGGUCUUUGAUCAUUGA